AUUCCAGCUCCAAUAGUGUAUAUUAAAGUUGUUGCAGUUAAAAAGCUCGUAGUUGGAUUUCUGGCGGGAGCGAUCGGUCCUUCACUCAGUGUUGGAACCUGAUUGUCUCCUGCCAUCCAUGGAGAAAACUUAUCUGGCAUUAAGUUGUCGGGUAGGCAAUCUCCAUCUUUUACUGUGAAAAAAUUAGAGUGUUCAAAGCAGGCUUAUGCCGUUGAAUAUAUUAGCAUGGAAUAAUAAGAUAGGACUUUGGUGGUUCUUUUUGAUAUUUUGUUGGUUUGCACGCCAAAGUAAUGAUUAAUAGGAGCAGUUGGGGGUAUUCGUAUCCAAUUGUCAGAGGUGAAAUUCUUGGAUUUAUAGAAGACGAACUACUGCGAAAGCAUUUACCAAGGAUGUUUUCAUUA
rnacentral:rRNA from 1 species